rnacentral:rRNA from 1 species
CAGUAGCCGCGGUAAUACGUAGGGUGCAAGCGUUAAUCGGAAUUACUGGGCGUAAAGCGUGCGCAGGCGGUUAUAUAAGACAGAUGUGAAAUCCCCGGGCUCAACCUGGGAACUGCAUUUGUGACUGUAUAGCUAGAGUACGGCAGAGGGGGAUGGAAUUCCGCGUGUAGCAGUGAAAUGCGUAGAUAUGCGGAGGAACACCGAUGGCGAAGGCAAUCCCCUGGGCCUGUACUGACGCUCAUGCACGAAAGCGUGGGGAGCAAACAGGAUUAGAUACCCCUGUAGUCCUGUCUCUUAUACA